rnacentral:rRNA from 1 species
ACUCCUACGGGAGGCAGCAGUGGGGAAUAUUGGACAAUGGGCGCAAGCCUGAUCCAGCCAUGCCGCGUGAGUGAUGAAGGCCUUAGGGUUGUAAAGCUCUUUUGUCCGGGACGAUAAUGACGGUACCGGAAGAAUAAGCCCCGGCUAACUUCGUGCCAGCAGCCGCGGUAAUACGAAGGGGCGUAGCGUUGCUCGGAAUCACUGGGCGUAAAGGGCGCGUAGGCGGCCUUGUAAGUUGGGGGUGAAAGCCCGUGGCUCAACCACGGAAUUGCCUUCGAUACUGCUUGGCUUGAGUGUGGUAGAGGUUGGUGGAACUGCGAGUGUAGAGGUGAAAUUCGUAGAUAUUCGCAAGAACACCGGUGGCGAAGGCGGCCAACUGGACCAUCACUGACGCUGAGGCGCGAAAGCGUGGGGAGCAAACAGGAUUAGAUACCCUGGUAGCGACUGA